AGUACGUGGGAUUCCUGGAGCCCAGUUAUGGAACUUGCUCUUAUCAGUGUAUCAGCAGCCGGCGGUUGAUUCGGAAGCAACAAUUGGAAUUCUCGGCGUUGGCACCUGACGGCAGCGCAGUCCUCUCUCUCCCCCCUCCCAUCCACGCACCCUUUAGAGUCGACCCCAUUGUUACUGCAAAUCGUCUGUCUUCUUUUCUUGCAAGAUAAGGCCGAAACUUAUCGUCCCUCUUCGACCGUAUGCGUUCAAUACCAGGCUGCGCAACGAAGGAACAUACAUGCCGGACGGUCUGCACCGUCACUGAAGAGCCUCUAGGAUUGUCGUGGUGCUCCCGUGCUGCAGCGUUUACAAGCAUUACAAAGAAGUGAAGGUCCCAUAUAUGCCUUAGUGUGCUGCUGUCGAUUUAAGAGCUGUCUCCAAUGGAGUCAAGUGAAGUUCUUCGCGCAGGCACGUCUUCAACUCAUCGUGUGUUUCCGGACUGUAUGUGGCAUGGCAUAUGCAUGCCACAUCCUGUUUAUGGGAUGCUACCUCAAGAUGAGAAACCAAACUGUGAAGUAGCGUUGGUGGUCUGGAGACCUCAGCCUCAGCAGGGCCGGAAAGGCAGAUCUUGGUUCUCGCGCGGCAAGACGGCCAGCUGCGAUGAGUCAUGGCGCUCGUUCCGGCACUGGGCGGUGCUCUGCAGCAUCGAAGGGGACAGAAAUUUUUUGCUCGACGCCGUAGAGAAAAACGGAGUACUUGUCGGACGCAUGCAAAACCAUGAUUCCAACGUCAAACCACACGAAAAGCUGCCACUAGGCGUUCACAAGCGUAAUUUCAUCGACAUAUCAGAAGCCUACGCCACCAUUUCAACACCAGGAAAGUACGAUAAGAUAGAAAACAACUGCCAAAAAUGGGUAGUUGAUUUUCUAAGACUACUGCGGAUAAAGAUGCCACCGCAAAUAAGAACAAUUCAAGAGCUUAUCCCACGUGCUCGUCUUCUGGCCCAGAUAAAGCAAAAAAGGAGAGAAUUUCAAGGAGACACCGGAAAGCCUGCAAGUCCCUCGUCUUCUACUUUUCUUUGAAGACAAACCCAGGUUGCAGAAGCGCGUUGAAGGAAAACGAGGCUUCAAAAUCCCUGACAUUUCCCCUCACCUUCUACGGCAGUGUCAUCUGAUGUUCUGUGUCCAAAUACGAUAAACAUAAAAUAACGUGAGUUGGGUCCGCAUGACUAUUUGUACUAAUAUUAAAGAAUACAUGCAAAAUAAUGUGAGUGGCUACAGAAGCAUUUUUAGGGCAGAAAAGUUUGGACAUCCUACAAUUUUUAGGUUUGUUCUACUCAUAUUCUCUCUGACACGACGCGUGCGUUCAUUUCACUCAUACGCCCUCCUUUCGUUGUUACGGAGAGGGGAAGCUUCUUUUCGAUAGCUGGGGCCACGUAAUUAUCCGAUUACAGAAAAGUGCAAAGGCUGUCUGAAUUUUCAUGGCGGCACGCACGCGAAGCCUGGAACCAGGACGCGCAGCUGAAUUCAUCACCAUCCCGCGAAGUUUUGCCACUACAGAACGCAGCCGUACGUACUGACUUGGAGAGAAGAACGCUACAAGACAGGCCCACUUACUUGGUAACAGGUCUGUUUCAUUGACGGAUAAUGAACAGUUCAAUUUUCUAUAUUCUACGAGGGACGAUGACUUUCUUUGCGCACUCGUUUCUGAUAAAUAUACCUUGUUUCCAACUAAUGCUGCUAAUGUUUAUCUUGAAUGAAAACAUUUGCAGUGGUAAAAUAUUUUAGUAUUUUACACACAUAUGCAGAAUAAAAGUGUCCGAAGAUUCGUGGAACUGCCAAACAAGCAGAAAAGCCUACAAGAAAAUCAGGCAUUUGACUCGUACGCCUUAGCGUAGCUUUCUUUCUUUGC